rnacentral:rRNA from 1 species
GAUGAACGCUGGCGGCGUGCUUAAAACAUGAAAGUAGAACGGACAGGCUCCUGCUUGAAGGGGUACUCGCGUGGCGAACGGGUGAGUAACACGUGGGUGAUAUGCACUGCACUUCGGGAUAAGCCUGGGCAACUGGGUCUAAUACCGGAUAGGACGAUGGUUUGGAUGCCAUUGUGGAAAGUUUUUCGGUGUGGGAUGAGCUCGCGGCCUAUCAGCUUGUUGGUGGGGUAAUGGCCUACCAAGGCGUCAACUGUGAGCCGGCCGGAUCGGGUGUACGGCCACAUUGGGUUUGAUAUACGGCCCAGACUCCUACGCGCGGCAGCAUCGGGGAAGAGUGCACAAUGGGCGCUUGCCUGAUCGCGUGACGCCGCGGUUUUUAUGAACGCCGUCGUGGUGUAAACUCCUUUCGCUACCGACCAAGCGCAAGUGACGGUACCUGGAGAAGAAGCACCGGCUAACUACGUG